rnacentral:antisense_RNA from 1 species
GUUCAGAGAAUUCCAACUUCUUACAAGAACAGAUAUUUAUAAGAAAACAAGGCAUAUUUUGGAAUCCUAUUCAGAAAAUAUACUGACUUCUUUUUCAGUGGUGGACAAUCCAAUCAAUAUUGUAUUGCAAGAAAAAAUGAAACAUUACACAGAUGAAGACAUGUUGAAAUACAUGAAAAUGACAGCCACAUGUUUACUCCUCCCAGAUGUUUUUGGGGAUGAUCCCAGCCUUUUUGUCAUCAUGAAUGAACAGGUGCAAGUGUCCACACCUGUGUUGGAAGUUAAAAACCCUUUCAACAUGGAGGUCUGCGAAUUUUCUUUAUAUUUAGAAAGGGAAAGGCUCACAAAGUUGGACGACUGUGUUACAGCCUUGGCUGCGCUAGUAGCUGCCUUUCAUGUAUUUGGGAUUGAGUGUCCAAGAAGACUGUCCCAAACCUUCAACUUCCUAGAAACGUUGAUUUUUGAUAUGCAUAGUCCUUAUUUUCCUUCUUUGAAAGAAAAGGAAAACGAAGUAGGAUUUCAGCACCCAGUCACUUAAUAGCAUGCCAAAUAUUGUAUCGGAAUUUACCUCUGGGAAAACUGAAGCUUCAUAAGGAAUUGUUUUGAUUUAGGGUUGUGGUAGAGGUAUACAUCCCUAUGGCUGAAUUUGAAUGACAGCCUCUCUCAGGCCAGGACAGGAUGACAAGGUGAGCUACAGGGAAACUGCAGUGAAGUUUGGCUCCAAGCAUGACACAGACAUGGGCUGACCUUGAAGAAAAAAAAGACUAAACACUACCUACGCUCAAUGUUCCACACCUCUUAAGCCAGUAAUCCUGUAUCUGGUGUCUGGCAGCAAAGAAAAUAAAAUAUACCUCAUCUGUGCUCCAUUUGGAGACUUUACUGGCAGGGAUUCCAGCGACAGUUGGAA